UUUUUUUUGGCCCCCUUUCCAUUUUCCCUGCUUCACUGUAAGCUUUCGAGCAACAGAAACUAGGCUAAGAUUGCAGACUGCAGAGACUCCAAGCGGAGUCGGAGAAAUUUGGCCUCGUUUUAAUAGGGCUGAGGAAUGAACUCGGGAGGUCAAUAAAGCCCUCCAAAAAUGAUGAAUGAUUGAGCACCUGUGAUGAUGAUAGUGAUUACCAGAGCAAUUAAACAGUUUGAUUAAAUGAGCCAUCAUAACAAUGAUGUCUGCGGGAAAUCGGCCCUCACAUAUAAAGAAAGAUAGUGCGAAGGGGCUGGCAGAGGCGCGGAUAGCGCGACGCCAGGGAGAGGGGCUGCGGGCCGCGAGGUUUCUGCCCAGUGGCCCGAGCAGGGACGGCCGGACUCACGGAGCUUCAGGGAGGAGAGUGUAGCCCCGGUUUUCAGCCACUCUUUUUGCCCGGCUUCAAGCCUGCUAGAGCCGACGGGUAGGAAAUCUGAAGGUUGGGGGGAGGGUACUUCCUCCACGUACUCUUUUUUUUUUUCCUAGAAGAACUACAAGAUUAAAAGUAUCCUUCUUAUUUGUUGCUGAGUUGCUCGUCGACAUUUAAGAGAAGGCACAUGAAGAUGAUGUGAAUAUCAAAAUGACAAAGAGGACCCAGGAAGAAUGACAAUGAAAUAAUAAUAGGUUAACUCAACUCAUAUUUAAUUAGGUUCUUGCAAUGCUCUCUCACUCCCUCUGCUGGCCUUGUUAAUUAACAAAACCAGUGCCUAAGUAGUCCUCGUGGGAAUCAGUGAUACCAAGUGGAUGACCCGUUGACUGCCCUCUGUGUUGUGUCGGGAGCCAACCAGAAAAUCAUGCUGAUUGUCCUCGGUAUGAAACAAAAAAGGCCAAGAGAAAAUUUGUUGUGGGUAGUGAAAACAGAAUGGCAUGCUUAUUUUUACAGUUUUAAGAAAGAAUUUAAUGAAAGGGAUAAUUCACAAAUCUUAAAAAUGUGCUAUUUUUCAAAGGAAUAACACCAGUUACCCACAUUCUAUUGAAAUGUAUAUGUACUUAGUAAAAGGCACUCAAAACAAGGUGUAUCAAUUGUGUGUUUCGGUGUUUACACACCGGAGGGUUAAAUGAAGGUUGUCUGGCUUUGCUGGUAGGAUUCUGAACCUGGAUUAGAUAUAUAGCUGUCCAAUGGAUCAGCUUCCCACAUCCUAGAGUUCCAUUAUGGAGUUACAAAGAGAAUGACAGCACUUGGCAAGUCCCAGGCCUAAUCAUAGCACAGAGAAGUGACUUUUGGAAGAUACAUUACCAAGCAAUUAGGACCCAUUUAAUAAAUUACCCCUUAUGGAACACUUUGAACCCUAGUGGUCUGAAGAGGUUAAUGCACCUCUCACAACUGAGUGCUACUCCGUUUCCAGGGGUAACUUCAAGGCCACAGCUAAUCCAAACCUUCUUCUCAUCAAUGGCCUCUUACUCUUGAGUCACUUGGGUAGUCUGGCAUCCGUAAGCCCACACACUUGCACUUCCACCCCUCUGCGUGCCAGAUGCUUCAUUUUCUUGCCGCUGAAUCCAUUGGGCGCAGUGCUCAUGAGGCCAAAAGACUUUGUCCUGCACAUUAACUUCCUCCUUGGGCUUUCAUGCUUCUUAUUUGGUCGUCUUUCUGUUUCUCUUAUUUAUAGAGAGUUUUAACUUCUGGGUUUAGUUUAAAUGUUACAUCUGAUGUAAUAUACUUUCCUCCAAAAUUGUUGAGUAGCAACCACAUUUUAAAUGAAUCCAAUACACAAAAUUAGGCUUUAGGAUAUUAUUAAAUUUGUAAAAAAAAAGAAAACCAAAACAAAAAAACCCACAAAACCCCACAGUAGAUGUAUAUUUGUAAACUGGAAUCUUAACUAUGGUUAGACACUAAAAAACAUUUAAAAUAUAACUGUAAGGGAGAAAAAGCUUUGUUUGAUGCUAGAAUAUAAUUAGACAUUUUAGGGUUUCAUUUUAAUUUAAAUUCAACUUGAGUUUUUGGAAUGAAAAUGCCGAGGAGACACUAAGCACUUUUAUUAAAAAAGAUGGCCAAAAAGUAGAAUUGGAAAAGAUGGAAAUAUGAAAAUAUUCCUGUGCAUUCAUAAUGGCUGACAUUGCUGUAUCAUGUCAUUGGUCUGCUGAACGAUAUUCCUGUAAACUACGAUCAAAAUCGUCAUGAUUUCCAGCACACUUAUUUAAUGUUUAUUCUAUCCAAGGCUCUGCUGAGAGCCACAGGAGAUGAAUAAGACAUGGCCUAUGGCUUCAAGAAACUUCAAGAAUUGUAUUGUAGAGCUAGGAUUUAGGUACAUAGAAAAGUAAGCAUAACAAAGGGAAGAUUACAAUGGAUGCCAAGUUUGUAUGCACACAGGAAUUCAGGGAAAGAAGAGGAGUCUCUGCACAAGAAGGUUUGAUGGAGGAAAUAGAAUUUGCUCAAGUCUUUCGUUAAGAUUUUGAUAAGAAAGCUAAAAAUUAAAAAAUAAAAUGCUCCCACAUUGAGAAGUAA